rnacentral:rRNA from 1 species
UUUGAUCCUGGCUCAGGAUGAACGCUGGCGGCGUGCUUAACACAUGCAAGUCGAACGAAGCGCUACCGACGGAACUUUUCGGAGGGAAGAUGGUAAUGACUGAGUGGCGGACGGGUGAGUAACGCGUGGGUAACCUGCCUCACAGAGGGGGACAACAGCCGGAAACGGCUGCUAAUACCGCAUAACAAGGGAUCUCCGCAUGAAGGUUCCUUCAAAGAUUUAUCGCUGUGAGAUGGACCCGCGUCUGAUUAGCUAGUUGGCAGGGUAACGGCCUACCAAGGCGACGAUCAGUAGCCGGCUUGAGAGAGUGAACGGCCACAUUGGGACUGAGACACGGCCCAGACUCCUACGGGAGGCAGCAGUGGGGAAUAUUGCACAAUGGGGGAAACCCUGAUGCAGCGACGCCGCGUGAGUGAAGAAGUAUUUCGAUAUGUAAAGCUCUAUCAGCAGGGAAGAUAAUGACGGUACCUGACUAAGAAGCCCCGGCUAACUACGUG